AAAAAUAUGGUAUAAUCCAUUUAUUUACCAGAAAUUUGGUAGGUGAUCACACAUAAGCUAACUGUACACAUACUUCCAAGAACCUUACCCUAUAUGAUCUACAUAUAACCAUAAAUGAGAAGGAAAAAAAUCACUGUUAUGCAAAACGAUCACAGAUCGUUUUCUAUCAGGGCCUAGACUACAUGACCCAUCACCAGUAAUAUUAGGUAAUUACAAAUAAUCAAGUAUCUCAUGAGACAACAAAUAUCACACGUGAGCAUCAGGUACAUGUAUGUUCCAAACCCAAGGUGAUUUGUUUCAUUUAGCGUAAAGCCAAAUUUCAUUUUAGGUGUGUCCAUGCGUACUACUUAUGGGUUGGAUAGAAACACGUAGUACAAUAGGGGUUCAUCUGCUAGAAUUAUGACGAAAGUCAAAACAGUUACUUCUCAAAUCUUUUUUCUAGGACUCUUGUAUCAGUUUAAACUUUCUCCACUUCUGCAUUCAUGCUCUCCAGCUAUGUCAACAAAGACUACGUCAAUACCAGUAAACAGAGCUGACACCCCAAGUUGUAUGUGAAGGGCUCUCACUGUGAAGGGGGUAAAUCUUGGAUGCCAUUCCUCAACUUAAUUAAGCUUCUGCUUCACCCAUCCUGCAGUCUACAAUUGCUAAACAAAUACGUACAAUAUUGGCAGGCUGAUAGAUAAUAGCCACAAAGAGAUCCCCCAAUGGACUGCUGAUGGAAGUAGAUCAAAACUUCUCUGAAACAAAAGCCAAUACACAUAUCUGAAUGAAUUAUAGCAGAACAGAUACUUCAAUCCUAAUAUGUGAUGGAUAGUUAAUUACUGAUUCAAGGUCAAGUGACAUUUAGAUUUGAUAUUGUAAAAGAAAAUAGGGAAAGAAUCAUGCCUUAUUGGAUCCCAUGUACCUUGCUGACGGGAACAUUGCCGCCACUGAUACAGAGGUUCAUCUUGCACACUGCAAGGAAAUCCCACAGCUUCCACCAGCGGUAGUAUCUGAUCACAGCAGCGAAAAUACUUACAUGAAAACAAAACUGAGCAUUGCCCGCCUGGCUGGAUAGGUGUGUAUCAAUGGUGCUCGCAACUGGUAUAAACCGGAAAAAAAAUCAUUCAUGAAUAACUCAACCUGAAUCAUGGAUUGCUCUCCAUAGUCUGAGCGAUAGCUGUACCGUACCCAUGCAUAUGUGCAUGCUAUAUCAAGAAAAUCAGCAAUUCUAAUAAGAUAAUAAAC
rnacentral:lncRNA from 1 species